rnacentral:rRNA from 1 species
GAUGAACGCUGGCGGCGUGCCUAAUACAUGCAAGUCGAGCGAACAGACGAGGAGCUUGCUCCUCUGACGUUAGCGGCGGACGGGUGAGUAACACGUGGAUAACCUACCUAUAAGACUGGGAUAACUUCGGGAAACCGGAGCUAAUACCGGAUAAUAUAUUGAACCGCAUGGUUCAAUAGUGAAAGACGGUUUUGCUGUCACUUAUAGAUGGAUCCGCGCCGCAUUAGCUAGUUGGUAAGGUAACGGCUUACCAAGGCAACGAUGCGUAGCCGACCUGAGAGGGUGAUCGGCCACACUGGAACUGAGACACGGUCCAGACUCCUAAGGGAGGCAGCAGUAGGGAAUCUUCCGCAGUGGGCGAAAGCCUGACGGAGCAACGCCGCGUGAGUGAUGAAGGUCUUCGGAUCGUAAAACUCUGUUAUUAGGGAAGAACAAAUGUGUAAGUAACUAUGCACGUCUUGACGGUACCUAAUCAGAAAGCCACGGCUAACUACGUG